GCUCGCACGCCGAGGACACACCCGGAGCCAGCCUCCCGCCCUCCGUCAGGGCUGGAAACAGGCAUCGCCAGGCCUGGGAGAGUCGAUUGCGUGUUUCCCCUGAGGCUGUGUGAUUCUUCUGUCUCGCUUGGCCACACCACCCUGCAGGCCGCCCGUCUCAGCUGGAACAAAAGUUACAAUUUCCCAAACACUCUGAACCCCUCUCCUAAAUGGCCUGAGUGCACGGGAAAAGAAACUAAUCAUCAUCAUCAUCAUCAAGCCUGGUUGUGAAAGCUGUUUGUAAAUCCCUACCCCCCCCC